rnacentral:rRNA from 1 species
ACUUUGAUUAUGGCUCGGANUGAACGCUGGCGGCGUGCUUAACACAUGCAAGUCGAACGAGAACGGGUUAUAGCUUGCUAUAACUGUCAGCUAAGUGGCGCACGGGUGAGUAAUGUAUAGUUAACCUGCCCUCGAGAAAGGAAUAACAGUUGGAAACGACUGCUAAUGCCCUAUAUGCCUUUAAGACAUAAGUCUGCAAGGGAAAUGCUUUAGUGCUCGAGGAUGGGACUGUAUGGUAUCAGCUAGUUGGUGAGGUAAUGGCUCACCAAGGCAAUGACGCCUAACUGGUUUGAGAGGAUGAUCAGUCACACUGGAACUGAGACACGGUCCAGACUCCUACGGGAGGCAGCAGUGGGGAAUAUUGCACAAUGGAGGAAACUCUGAUGCAGCAACGCCGCGUGGAGGAUGACACUUUUCGGAGCGUAAACUCCUUUUAUAUAGGAAGAUAAUGACGGUACUAUAUGAAUAAGCACCGGCUAACUCCGUGCCAGCAGCCGCGGUA